rnacentral:rRNA from 1 species
UACGAAGGGGGGCUAGCGUUGUUCGGAAUCACUGGGCGUAAAGCGCACGUAGGCGGAUCUUUAAGUCAGGGGUGAAAUCCCGAGGCUCAACCUCGGAACUGCCUUUGAUACUGGGGAUCUCGAGUCCGGGAGAGGUGAGUGGAACUGCGAGUGUAGAGGUGAAAUUCGUAGAUAUUCGCAAGAACACCAGUGGCGAAGGCGGACUCACUGGCCCGGAACUGACGCUGAGGUGCGGAAAGCGAUG